rnacentral:rRNA from 1 species
ACCCGAAACCCGGUGAUCUAGCCAUGGGCAGGUUGAAGGUUGGGUAACACUAACUGGAGGACCGAACCGACUAAUGUUGAAAAAUUAGCGGAUGACCUGUGGCUGGGGGUGAAAGGCCAAUCAAACCGGGAGAUAGCUGGUUCUCCCCGAAAGCUAUUUAGGUAGCGCCUCGUGAAUUCAUCUCCGGGGGUAGAGCACUGUUUCGGCUAGGGGGCCAUCCCGGCUUACCAACCCGAUGCAAACUGCGAAUACCGGAGAAUGUUAUCACGGGAGACACACGGCGGGUGCUAACGUCCGUCGUGAAGAGGGAAACAACCCAGACCGCCAGCUAAGGUCCCAAAGUCAUGGUUAAGUGGGAAACGAUGUGGGAAGGCCCAGACAGCCAGGAUGUUGGCUUAGAAGCAGCCAUCAUUUAAAGAAAGCGUAAUAGCUCACUGGUCGAGUCGGCCUGCGCGGAAGAUGUAACGGGGCUAAACCAU